UACGGAGGGCGCAAGCGUUGUUCGGAAUCAUUGGGCGUAAAGCGCGUGUAGGCGGCCUGGUAAGUUGGGUGUGAAAUCCCUGGGCUCAACCCAGGAAUUGCACUCAAAACUGCCGGGCUUGAGUACGGGAGAGGGAAGUGGAACUCCUAGUGUAGAGGUGAAAUUCGUAGAUAUUAGGAGGAACACCUGUGGCGAAGGCGGCUUCCUGGACCGAUACUGACGCUGAGACGCGAAAGCGUGGGGAGCAAACAGGAUUAGAUACCCGCGUA
rnacentral:rRNA from 1 species